rnacentral:rRNA from 1 species
CCUACGGGUGGCUGCAGUGGGGAAUCUUGCGCAAUGGCCGAAAGGCUGACGCAGCGACGCCGCGUGUGGGAUGACGGUCUUCGGAUUGUAAACCACUGUCGGUAGGGACGAAGUUCUGACGGUACCUCCAAAGGAAGCACCGGCUAACUCUGUGCCAGCAGCCGCGGUAAUACAGAGGGUGCGAGCGUUGUCCGGAAUCACUGGGCGUAAAGGGCGCGUAGGCGGCCUGGUAAGUCGGGGGUGAAACGCUGCGGUUCAACCGGAGAACGGCCUUGGAGACUGUCAGGAUGGAGCACGGUAGAGGCUGGUGGAAUGCCCGGUGUAGCGGUGGAAUGCGUAGAGAUCGGGAAGAACAUCGGUGGCGAAGGCGGCCAGCUGGGCCGUUGCUGACGCUGAGGCGCGACAGCGUGGGGAGCAAACAGGAUUAGAUACCCCAGUAGUC